AAAGGGAGAGUGAGGCUUUUUAUUGUGUAUGAAUUCACGUGGUAUCGACAACUCCACACAAUAUUAAAACACUGCGAGAAAGUGGGUGCGGCACACCUGGAAUUUUAAAAAAGUCAGAAAUAAAAACAACCAGACAUCCCAAUGCAGAUGGCAUAGAACCUGCUAGAACCACAGGCGGCGGCUGGAAACAGGAGACAGGUCUUUACGAAGGUUAGAUGGGCAGCGGUUCCGUGGACAGAGGAGGAGGCGCGGCUGGCCGGCAUAUGGCUUCUGUGCAGAGGGCCUGGCCUCAGGCCGUGGACUUUUUAAUAAGUGAGGACACACCAGUGGGGCCGGGCUUGGCACAGCUGUGCCCCCUCCUCCCUCUGCCCUGGCAGCGGGGGCUCGGGGAUUAAGGCCUCUUUUAAGGAAAAACGGGGUGGGGUGUGUUUGUUCCCAGUUACCAAGAUGGCUUGUUGGAAAGGGUGGAGGCAGGCGGGCUCUCCCUGCCUGGGGUCCUCCCAGGGUCUCUGGAACAGGCUUUUGUCCCUUCCUGCCAUUCCUGCUAUGCGUGGUGGGGACGCCCACACCCCAAACCCUGCCGGCUCCCAGCCCAACCACAGGAGGCUGCAGUCUCCGGGAGCCUCUGGGGCUCUCCCGGGCCAACAGCAGGUUUGGCGGGUAGGGCUCCCCGAAGCCCCAGCCCUCCCGGACCUGCCGUAGAGAGCUGGGUGCCGGGGGUGGGGAGCCCGGCUGUGGCCUGUGGGAGCUGCCCGAGGUUGAGGAGUGGAGGUCACUCCCCCGACACCUGCACACACACCCGGAGCCCUCUAGCCUUGGCGAGGUGGGAACCCUGGCAGUCACCAGCUCAGGAAGUGAGCCAAGCAGGGAUCCCCGCCUCACGGGCCUGCACGGAGGACCUGGGCGGCCGUCCAGGAACCCUCUCGGCACGGGUUCUUAGACGCCUGUCUCCACUGGGGCCGGAGGGACAGGACUAGGCUAGUUUUAUUCUACUACUUGCUUCUAGGCCAGCCCCGUGGAGGGGGUCGGGGCGGCCAGGCCUCCUGCGAUCAGGGCUGCGUGGGGUCCAUCUCAGGUGUGGCCGCAGGUGAUGCCGGCAGGCCCUGGAAGAUGUGGCUGCACCUGCUCCCGUCCGUGCCGCAGAGGAGGACGCAGUCAUCUUUCAGAAGCCUCCCCCCGACCCCAUGACAUCUUCGAUUUCCACUUGCCGCUGGGAGGAGUGGCCCAUCCUGCGUCUAAGGCAUCUCCCGGCCUCAGACAGCCGUCCUGGGUUGCACGGGGGUGGAAAAGCAAAAAGAUCGGGUUCGAGCGACAGGGUAACGUUUUGAGCGGACGUUUUGAUCUCCGGGACAACGUCUCACCUCCCAGAGUCCUUCAGAGUCACUCCAAGAUCAUGGAACAAUUUUGUACACACAGCAGCACAGGGUAGCCCCACCCGCCCUGCCGCGGCUCCCCAGCCUGCAUUUUCUGUUUGAAAAACGUCUAUGGUGGAUGCCAGAGGGUAGGACAACCUGGAAGAGCCAAGGAUGGUCAAAGCCUCUCCCAGCCACGCGGAUGCCUCAUGCUUAAAACACACUGGGCGCAGUGGCUCACGCCUGUAAUCCCAGCAGGUUGGGAGGCCGAGGUGGGUGGAUCACGAGGUCAGGAGUUCGAGACCAGCCUGGCCAAGAUGGUGAAACCCCGUCUCUACUAAAAAUACAAAAAACAAAAAAAUUAGCCUGGCAUGGUGGUGGGCACCUGUAAUCCCAGCUACUCAGGAGGCUGAGGCAGGAGAAUCGCUUGAACC
rnacentral:lncRNA from 1 species